AUCCAAUCUCACAUCAAUGAAAAUUUUGGACUUAUCAGACAACAGUUUGACGGGACCAGUGCCUGAUUUUCUAUCAGAUUUACCAUUCUUGACAGUGCUAAACCUGAGUAGGAACAAACUCAAAGGUUCAGUUCCAGCUAGACUCAUGGAGAAAAUGGAAAAAGGUUUGCUGUCACUAAGGUUAGCUUUUGGUCCAAAGUUAAUAUCUAUUCUACAACGUUGUUAUCAUUUCAAGUCUAUGUUGUUUAAUCUUCUGUUGAUUCUAGUGUGGACGGGAAUCAAGAUCUUUACAUUCCAAGUUCACAUAAAAAGAAGAAGAAGUUUAUUUUUCCAGUAGCAGCAGCAGUUGUUUCAAUUUCUGUCCUCUCAACUGCAAUAGCUAUUUUGUGGAGCUUUAAAAGAAGAAAACGAGAAGACAAAUGGUGGUUAUCAUUGAUUAUAGUAGGAGCAGCUCUACUGGUUCCCUGUU